CAGGCUGGACUCUGCUCCUGUGCAGAGCUGAUUAUUAAAUAUGUGCAAACAGCAGCAUGUUUUCUGUCGCUUUCCACAUGUGGAAGGACAUUAACGCCAACUUUUAAAUUCCCCUCAUUAGUCAAUAGCUACGGAUUAAAUAGCAAAGCCCGAUACUUAUGUACUGAAACCAACUACUUCCGCUUGUCAGCUUAAGUUAAAAUGUUACAUUUUUCCCCUGAUUAUUUUUUUAGCUUUUUUUUUUUUUUUUUACUGAGUUUGUUACAAAUAUUCAGGUUAAAAAACUGUCCAAAUUAUUUUUAAUGAAUUAUGUUCACAAAGUCACAUGUGCAGUACUGUGUACAGCUUGCAUCCUUUAGGACAAAUAAUUUGAAACAUUAAUAUUUCUCGUUCAAUACUGAGCUGAUAACACCUUCGUAUGUUGUGACCAGGAUGCAGCAGCAGACUGAACCUCGACUGAAACCUGCUCCAUCAUCUCAUCUUUGCAGAUGUCCAUUUAUAAAGCAUCAACAACUCAAAGGAGCUGUCCUCAGAGUCAGACCUCAGCACCACCCAGUGACAGCAGACAGAUCAUCCUAUAUCUUCGAUCUUUGUAGUAACUCCAAAAUUAACUGAAGAAAACAGUACAAAGGUUAAAGUACCACAUGUGCUCUCAGUGAAAGCUGCAGCUGUUUUAUUGAUAAAUUUAAAGACAAAAAGUCAAAAGGAUUAAUCACCCCUGUAACUGUGUCACUAUACAUCAGCAUUAACAGUACCUCAGUUUGGUGUUUCAGAAAACUGCUGAUCUCAGACCUGCAAACUUCUGUUUUAAACACUGAAUGUACUCAGCUACAUGAAGAGCACAUGAUGUUUUCUCUGACACAAUUAAAUAAAACCUGAUUAAA